AAGACAUGAAGUCAAGUCAGCAAACCCGCUGAAUUUAAGCAUAUAAGUAAGCGGAGGAUAAGAAACUAAAUAGGAUUCCCUCAGUAAUGGCGAAUGAACAGGGAUGAGCUCAGCAUGGAAAUCGGGGUCUGCGACCUUGAAUUGUAGUCUGGAGAUGUAUCACCAACUGGGGCGCAGAUGUAAGCCUUUUGGAACAAAGCAUCAAUGAGGGUGAAAGUCCCGUCUGGCAUCUGCAGUCCCCAGUGCUCGGUGUACCUUCUAAGAGUCACGUUCCUCGGGAUUGGAGCGCAAAUUGGGUGGUAAAUUUCAUCUAAAGCUAAAUAUUGUUUCGAUACCGAUAGCAAACAAGUACCAUGAGGGAAAGGUGAAAAGGACUUUGAAAAGAGAGUUAAAAGUGCCUGAAAUUGCUGAAAGGAAAGCGAAUGGAGCCAGCACAACUUGGCAGGAUUGCUGCACAUCACUGUGAGUGCUUGCUGCUGCAACGAAAGUGGGGUAGCGAGUUUUGAACAGGACAUGCGCAGUGCAUCCUGCCUUGUGUGUCACUGCCAAUUCACAGCUGGGGAAAACUUCAUGUACAUGGUAGCCUGUCCCUGGGUGGGUGAAUGUGCUUGAUGGAACUCAUUUGUGGAUUGAUCA
rnacentral:rRNA from 1 species